UGGGGAAUAUUGCGCAAUGGGCGCAAGCCUGAUCCAGCCAUGCCGCGUGCAGGAUGACGGUCCUAUGGAUUGUAAACUGCUUUUGUACAGGAAGAAACAGUUCUACGUGUAGAACCUUGACGGUACUGUAAGAAUAAGGAUCGGCUAACUCCGUGCCAGCAGCCGCGGUAAUACGGAGGAUCCAAGCGUUAUCCGGAAUCAUUGGGUUUAAAGGGUCCGUAGGCGGUUAGAUAUGUCAGUGGUGAAAGCCCAUCGCUCAACGGUGGAACGGCCAUUGAUACUGUCUGACUUGAAUUAUUAGGAAGUAACUAGAAUAUGUAGUGUAGCGGUGAAAUGCUUAGAGAUUACAUGGAAUACCAAUUGCGAAGGCAGGUUACUACUAAUGGAUUGACGCUGAUGGACGAAAGCGUGGGUAGCGAACAGGAUUAGAUACCCGGGUAGUCCCUGAGCGGGCUGGCAAGGCGCAU
rnacentral:rRNA from 1 species